CCUGCCUGCCCUGCCACCCCUGCCACGCUCUGCUUGGCCACUUGAGUCUGUCUGGAACGCCGAGCAGAAAUGACUCUUUGAAGAGAUGAGAAGCACAGGGGGCCCAUCGGGUGAUGGACGUUGCGACUCUCGGAUUUAGCACGAAGUAUGGCACAUACAGCGUUUACUCCAACACCCUGAACAAGAAUGUGCACACAGGGCAAGUACAAGUUGGUGAGAAUGACGCAGUGCAGACAAGCUCGCACAUGGAGAAGGUUGGCUUCGCAAGAGGCUUCACUUACCUGUAAGUAAACAACAUAGAUGUGUUAUCAUUCACCACAGAUCGGCAUGUGUCCAUCAUGAAAGGGAUGGCAUCUAAUCACCCAGAUGUCAACCACUACUUCAAUGUGUGGCACUUCGCAAAGGGCAUCACAAACAAGCAGCGAGCAAACGCCGCCCUCAAAACAAAGAUCUAAAAAAAGGAUACAAAAAGUGACGAAUGAUUUGUACUG